AACAGUCGUCCCCACCUUAAUUAUACAUGACUAGUAUAUGUGAGGCGAUUAUAGAAAUGCCUCAUGAAAAUCCAUUCCUGAAAAGAUACUUUACUUAGAAACACUCAGGACCCUCUAUAGUUCCGCAUCGACUCUAUCGGUCCAAGUAUCCGCAGCAAUGAUACACGGGACAAAACCCGAGACGCCUAGAACUUGAGUGUCUUUUCGGCACAUGACCUUAUCGAUCCUCAUUCUAUGUCAUGUCGAUGUAUGCCAACUUCGACGCCUCUAUCGAUCAUGGUUUGACUUCGUGCAACCAUGUGUAAAUCCUUAGUGCUGUGUAAAAAGAACUUUCUCCAUAGCCAUUCGGAAAAUAAAGGUUCUUCCGAACCUAAACAAAAUAAAAAUAAUAAAGACUAAUACGAUCCGUCAGUCGGCACUCUUAUUUCAAACCUUCUGAAGUACCCAGGAGAGGGGUACCGCGUGCUGUUAACCAACCCUCCUUAGACAGAUAGAAACCAAAGCGAAAGAAUGUGCAGGUAUUCCAGAAGAUGAUAACCACCCGAAGCAUACUCCAUAGGUCCCCCAGAAAGACCGUUCAUCGUAUCCCAUGGAACGGGAGCUAGAGUCAAGAGAACCCUUGCGGGUUGAGCUACUAUAAUGACCACAUAUCCGAAGUUUGUUGUCAUCCCGGUUAAGCCAAGAUAGUAGCUAAACAACCACGGUUGGUGAAGAAACCUAAGUCGUAAGAGUCAAGGACAUUGACUAUGACCAUCCAUUCACGCUUAAUCCCCCGAAUUAAGCAUUGCAGCGAAUAUCCCGGAAAUCCGAGAGCUGUGAUAAAUUAAACUCUGAGAAGAGUGAAUGAGAAGAUUAAAGUUCCGAGUGAUGGAACCGUAUACUCACAAGAUUUGACCUAAAUCGGGAAAACUCAGAACCUUCGGAAGAGUAGUUGCCGAGGAUGUUCGCACUACUCAAGCACUUCGUCCGCCCCGUUACAGACGAGUAGUGCCUAGGGUCCUCCGCCCCAUCACAUGGAGGAAGUCACCGUCGCCUUGUAGACGAUAGACUACAUUCUCCGAAGUGAACACUAGAAUACCGAGAACCACAUGAUAACCUCCGUAGCUAAGAAUACUUGAAUAAAGUGCGAAAGUAGAUUGUGUUAAGCCUCAUAACCCAGAUCCCGAAGAUAUUAUCGACAUGACACCAGUGUAGGUGUUAGUCGAUGGGUUAUAUGAGAGCACACACUUUCUGCAACUAGAAUAUACCAACACCUUAGAGAAUAGGGCAUAUCUUAGAGAUUCAUUGGACUACUAGGUGUUCCACGAAUACUAUCUCGCGCAGAAAUAGUAGAAUCACCUCCUGAGAUAGUCCAACACUCGUCUGGUGAAACCCUAUCUCCACGACCUUGAGGGUUUCCUUUAGAAAUAUCUCAAGAAUCAGAAGUGCAGGUUCAUUUUGCACGAGAUUGAGAUACACACUCUGCAGCAAACAGAUACCCGUAGACACGCAAUCCAUCUGAUGAUCUAGAAACAACCUAAAGGACUACACUUCCAGUAUGAGAGAGAGCGUUUGGAACUUCGGAAUGGCGAUCACGCCAGUGAUGAUCUCGCCAUAGAAGUACACUAUGUUCUAAGUAUUGAGAAGCUCUACCCUUCCGAGAGCUUAGGACCAUCCGAGAUUCUUUACGGAGAUUGGUCUAACCCUCGUCAGACCACUACUAAUUCCGGAUAUUCCACAAGUUUCACACCAGACCAAUCCAUUUCUUAGACGUGAUUAGUAUUUGCCCAACGUCACUAUUCGUAUCCCACUCAUCUUGAUAGAAACCAUUGAGAAUCCUAACUUCGUAGAUUUACCUGUAGAAAAUCGCUAACUACACAAGACGGAAUCCGCAGCCCAUAGAUGAAUGUUUGUUGGAAUGACAGACACAGGCCCGAGAUCACUUGGGAGUGCCAGGAAAACCGAAUAGGAAGUACCCUCCAGCUUCUACUCGGUCAUUCAUACCUACUUCCUUGCCUAAACCUGAAUUUUGGGACGAAAUUCCCUCUAACGGGGGGAUGAUGUGACAACCCGAAAUUUAUUCCGUCAUUUUUAACCCCUUUUCCGUUAGUAAGCCUCGUUUUAUUUAGCUGUCUGUUAACUUUUGGACUGGUUAAUUAAUUUGGGACUUUUAAAUGACAUUAUGAGGGUUGAAACAAGUUAGAAACACCCCAAAUUUUUCCUUUGAAAAAUUUAAGUUUCAACCAAGUCAAAAUACGACCACUAAAUCGGGUGCGACCAAAAGCCCCGUUUAACAGCAGUAUCGGGUAGAGUUUCACUGAGCCUCAACUCAAGCCCCUAUAUAAGGGGGAGUGGACUUCAUUUCAACCCUUUCCACUCUCUCUCUACACUCUCUCUCUCUACUACUUAUUUUCGAGCCAAAAUCGUCCGUUUCGACCCCCAAACGAGUAAGCAAUCAACCCUAACUUGUUGUAUUGCUUAGCUAGCAUGCAAAUUCAUGUUUAAAACAUCAAACAGGCGUAGAUUCCUGUGUUUACGGCCCAAUAACACUCUUGGACCGUGAACACCAUUAAAUGGGGUUUUUAAGCCCCAAAACCCCUCUAAACUACCCCUAAGGCUUAGAUAUGGAUAAAUGACUUAUGGAAACGGACUUAGAACACCUUGAAACAAGAUUUUGGAGAGUAAACAUGAGUUUACUGCCGAAGAACAUGCUUGGGCCGUAAACUCCCCUUCAUGGGGAGUAAAAUCAAAAUCAAGUGUCAGAAAUGCCCUCAAACACCUCCUAUGGCCUUGGAAAAAUGUCUAGAAGCAAUCCCAUAGAUGUAAAUGCUUUAAACAUUAAAGAAACCAAGGAAAUAUGAGUUUACGGCCGUAAAUCCCCCUAGGAAAGGUCCAUGGGCCAUAAACUCCCAUUAAGUGCCCAAAUGAUGCCCUAACUCCUACAUUUGACUUGGAAAAUGCAUAGAACUUUAUUUCCUACCAUUUAAGACCCUAAUACACCAAAGGAAUGAGUAUAUAGGAGCUUACAGCCACAAACUCCUUGUUUAGGGCCGUAAACUACUCAAGUGGUCCUUUAAGAGCCUUAAACCCCUUCAUACACUUUGUAUUUGGACCUAGCCUAAUUCCUUGAGUGAUAUAAGACAUUUUGGCAUCCUAGAACACCCUCACCAUGAGUUUACGGCUGUAAACUCAUGGGGAGUAGGUCCCAGGGCCGUGAACUCUAUAAAUAGUUUACUCUUGAAGAGUAAACUCCCUAUCUAAGCCAUACACACCCUUAGAUGUUACCCGGGACACUCCAACCGCUUAAUCAAAGUGUUUUCCGCACUUUAAGAUGCGUAUAUGUGUUUAAUUAGUAUUAUAUGUACUAAUUGUAUGUAAACAUAUGUCAUCAUAUGCUAAUAGGUCACUAAGUGUGUUCUAGUCUUUACUUGACACCGAGCACCCAACCGACACCUUCGUCGGAUCCACUUACAUCAGGUGAGUUCAUACCCCUGAAUGAACCUUUUUAAAAUUUUUUACACAUUUUAUAGGGGGGAAUACAAGUUAAACAUCCCAGUUAUCAUAUCAAUCACAUGUGAUUGAUAACCCGCAUUCACAAGGAUUUAUUACACUGUUAACUGUUUUACCAAGAAUGAUACCGUAAAUGGUUUUCUAAAACGUAUUUACUUUUUCAACUCGUAGUUAUAUUGUUUUAUUAUAUUUAUGAUUAAAACUUGUUUAUGAAAGGUUUCCAAAGAAUUUCUACAGGUUUUCAAACUUAUUUUAUAAAAGAAUACCAAGUCGUGAUUUUCUUAAGUAUAAAGGUUUUCCAAAGUUUUCACCGAAGUUUUCUUCCAUGUUUUAUACUCCUUCUUCUUUAGAUUCUACUGCCUUGUUAUACUUCUACUUAGUUAAAUGCUACUACUUUGUUAACAGUUUUACUUCGUGAUGCGCUUAUACUUCACGAUACGCUUAUACUUCACGAUAUGCUUAUACUUUAGGAUAUGCUUAUACUUGAUGAUACGCUUCUACUUCACGAUACGCUUAUACUUCACGAUACGCUUCUACUUCGCGAUACGCUUAUACUUUACGAUACGUUUCUACUUCAUGAUAAGCUCCUACUUGUUAACACUUAUACUUUGUGAAACACUUCUACUUCGUUAAACACUUAAACUUCGUUAAAUGCUUCUACUUAGUUAAAUGCAUGUCUGUGCUUGUAUAAGUUAUAUAAAUAAUGUUCAAAGGGCUUAGGAAGACUAGUUUGCCCUAUUUCCUUUUCUUCGUUUAGAUGUGGUCUGGUGGGAUCGGAUGUCCGUUCGAAGGUCGUUUGAUCAUUAGUUAUAUAUUAUGUAUACAAGCAUAGACAUAUAGGUUUACAUUAGUCAGUUCAUUUGUGAGUCUCUAUCCUUAGUCCAGUAUUUUACAUCAGAUCUCACUAUAUGAGAUACGUCUUCACUACACGGCCUUCUCCGUUGUCAAGUUAGUAACCAGAGUCUCUUGUAGGAGAGUGGACAUUGUGUGUAUAGAUCUAUACAAGAUUGACACCCCCCACCCUGACUGCUAGCUACGGUCCACGGCCUACCAAGCCAAGGGGUGACAAAUGUCACACUUACACAGAUGCUUGCAGGGCGUCUAGUUCUCUAGUGUCUAUCAGUAUGGUUACGGGUAUCUCGGGGUUACCUUAUAAUUCAUGGCCUUAAUGUAAUGGUUUUUAACACUGUAUUCAGUUUUUUAGACCUUGCUAGACGUAUCAUUCAGUUGAUUCUGUCUGGGGUCUGUGUUCACUGUUUUUAGACCUUGCUAGACGUAUCUUUCAUUUGAUACCGUCUGGGGUCUGUGUCUCCCUUUUGUUAGACUGAGCCAGGUGUACCGUUCAUUCGAUACUCUCCCAGAGUCUAUGAUUUCUUUUUGCCUUAGUCAGUAGUCUUCACUGCUGAGGCAUAUGUUAUUUUCCCUGAUAUUCUCCUACUUUCUUUAAAAUCAAACAUCGUAUUUUGGUAAUGAUAGUGUUUAAGGGAAAUUUACUUUUUACAACAUAACUCUGUCGGGUCUUGGUAGAAGACUAAUUUUAUUUAACAAAAUAUAGGAUUUUAUGGAAAAGACUCUAAUACACUGUUGAUUCUAAACUACUACUUUUAAUUAAGUUAUUUGAAUAAAAUGAAACUAAAUACUUAUGAACUCACCAGCAUUUGUAAAAAUGCUGAUACUCGCUUUUCAAAUAACUUGUAUUCUCAGGUCAGCAAUAGACAGGUACAUCCCCGGAGCUUUUGAUGAAGACAGUUUAGUACCAAGCUGCACUUAUAUUAUUACUUGUAUUACCUUGAUGCAUUGUAAUGUAAACCAUGUAAAACUAUUACUAUUAAUGCAAUGGUUGUUGUACUUUGAUUACUAUACUGCAUAUGUUGUGAUACUUGACAUGACGUCAUCCACCCCAGAACGUUUCCGCCGUUCCGGUUUUGGGGUGUGACAGAUUGGUAUCAGAGCAUUGUUUAUAGUGAGCUAAGUAUAUCAAUUCAUAAAAGAUAUACAGCCUAUAAAUACAUAGGGAUAAAACACUCUGACCAAGAAUUAUACUUUAAAAUAUAACCAUAUUUUACCAAAGUAUAAGAACAUCCAGAAUCUAAACACUCGAACACAAGUAUCACAAGAAGAACAAUAAUAAAAGUCUUCGGAUGUUGAGCAUUACCGUUAAACCUGGGCAAUUAUGUAAUCGUAAGCUGGAAUAAAUGUAACCUGAUCAACUAUGUUUAUUCAAGAUGCGAUGAAUGUGUGCUUUGGAGCAAUAGUGGUGUUGCAACAGGUCUGAAACUUACCAACUAGGAAUGCUAGAGCCAAACAUAAAGUUUAAAAUACUAUAGGAGUAUUUUGGAAUACUAAAAGACUCACACUAAUCCCAGAAUCAUAUUCAGAAGAUAAGAAACAAACAAGAAAUUAAAAUACCAUAGGGGUAUUUUAGGAUCCAUAGAUAACCUUGUGUGAAGAACUAAAAAGAUCCUUAUUGAUAUACCUACAAUUACAGAGGGUAUACUCCCAAGGUUAUAUAUAAUAAGGAUCCCAUAGGCUAAGAAUGUGUGGUUUCGCUCUACUUCCUUUUCCUCGUUGGGAUGUGGAUAUAAAGUAGUAUCACAUAUUCGAAGGCCUAUCGGAUCUAAGCUAUAUAUGAUUUGUAUACCCUGUGUAAUCGUAGCAGGACUCGAUAUGGAUCACAUAGUGAAUAAUCUCUUAGGAUUCUUUAGACAUUUCCAUUCUCGCAAGAACCCUGUAGAAAACCCUAUCCACUUCAGUACUCGGCAAAAGAGUUGAAAUUAAGACCCCGAAGAGGUUCAUUGAGAAGAUUUUCAGUCGGAAAUAAAUGAACUGGGUCUAGACUAUUGAAAUCACCAAGUGCCUAUAUCUUUUUAGGGACAUCUGUGUGAAAUUCGCCUAAACUUUCGAGAUUUCCAGUCAUCCAUCAUGAAGAGAUGACACCCAGAGUCGUAUUCGGAAGUAAGGCGGAGUAGAAAUUCAAUACAUCUCUAAGAAAGGAGAACCCUAGGUAACUACCCGAAGGAAACCAACGCCGGUCUCAGUCAAAGAUACAAGGCAGACAGAGGGAGCCAGUACAUGGAACCCGAGAAGUGUCUUUUCCUCGUGUUAGUCGCGCUAAUACACCUAUAAAAUAAUACAAUUUAGUGAGUUAGUGGUUAGACUACUCACGCUAUGUGUUAGGUAGAUCGCCUUUUCCCAUUGCUAGUAACACGUUUAGAGCGGAUCCCAACACCUCUAUUGAGAGUGUUUAGCCAUAAGUCUUCAUGAGCCUUUUCUUCCCACGGUCUUCGUUCCGAACUGUCCACAGAUCUUUCCAAGCCGGAGAGUGAACCUUUCCCAGUAUAAAGGUAACUUAGUAGGAACGAUUCCCAUCUUAUGGCUUUUUACGAUACUCAUACUUCUACCUAGAACACCAGGACUACAUCAUAGGGAUGUAGGUCGACACUCAGACAGCCAGCAUCCGAGGCACGGGAAAAAUUUACGCCUAAUACAGUAAGGAUAGAUACGUCCAGGGUUAACCAUCGUCUCUCAUCCGCUUGAGUUCCUUUCCGUAUAGGGAAAAACCAUGCCUCCGAGCAAGCGUAACCAAUCCACUAGCAAGAAACCUACUCUCAUACUCGACGCAGCUACCUUCCAGACUACAGUCUCGACAGCCGUUGCAGCUGCCACGGCUCAACUGAACGCUAACAACGCCAGUGUUAGCAAGAGCCCUAUCGGGAAUCUCGAUCCUAGAAAUGGACAGCAGCAACCAACCUCUAUGUACCCAGCCACCCGAGAACCUCAACCAAAUCCACUAAAGAGAAAACUCAAGAUCGAGGAUGGAAGUACUCGGCUCAAGGACCUUCCGAAGGGCAACGUGAUGAGACAGUUAAUACCCUUGCCAGCCCUCGCAUCCUGACCUCCAGAAGACCAUACCUAGGAAACCUUCCCCACUACAGCAGGUGCAGCUACCAUCAUCAUGAUAUUUGUCGAGAACUCUUAUGUGCUAGGUGCAACAGGAAGGGGCACACCUCUCGUACCUGCAGAGCCCCGGUUGAGUUCAUUACAUCAACCACCAAUGCGGCGACCAAUGCAGUUUGCCACCUAUCUGGUGAGAUUGGACACUUCAAGAAGGACUGUCCAACCGAAGGAAAAGACAAGGACACAUUAGGAGUCUAACUCUAAUGCUUAGGGAGAAGCAUCAAGGAACCUGGUAGAUUUUGGUACGUCUCUCAAUCUCAGAUAACUGAUCAAAACGUUAAAAGGCUAAUUCCAAAUGUAAUUACUUCCCCAUCAAGGCGAAAGUCGCAACACUGUUAUAAAAUUUAAAAUUUCAUCAGGUAAAACUAUAAUGGCUAAAUAUAUACGUUACAGCCAUGUAUAAUUGAGAUGGAUAGACCUAGAGUGAGUGAAGGCCGCCUCAUUUCCUGUUCCUCGUUUGGUUGUGGAUUUGGCGCGGAGUCGCUCAAUCAACAGUCGUCCCCACCUUAAUUAUACAUGACUAGUAUAUGUGAGGCGAUUAUAGAAAUGCAUCGUGAAAAUCCAUUCCUGAAAAUAUACUUUGCUUAGAAACACUCAGUACCCUCUAUAGUUCCGCGUCGACUCAAUCGGUCCAAGUAUCCGCGGCAGUGAUACACGGGACGAAACCCGAGACGCCUAGAACUUGAGUGCCCGUUCGGCACAUGACCCUAUCGAUCCUCAGUCUAUGUCUUGUUGAUGUAUGCCAACUUCGACGCCUCUAUCGAUCAUGGUUUGACUUCGUGCAACCAUGUGUAAAUCCUUAGUGCUGUGUAAAAAGAACUUUCUCCAUAGACAUUCGGCAAAUAAAGGUUCUUCCGAACCUAAACAAAAUAAAAAUAAAUAAGACUAAUAUGAUCCGUCAGUCGUCACUCUUAUUUCAAACCUGUCGAAGUACCCAGGAGAGGGGUACCGCGUGCUGUUAACCAAUCCUCCUUAGACAGAUAGAAACCGAAGCGAAAAAAGGUGCAGGUAUUCCAGAAGAUGAUAACCACCCGAAGCAUACUUUGUAGGUCCCCCAGAAAGACCCUUCAUCCUAUCCCAUAGAACGGGAGCUAGAGUCAAGAGAACCCUUGCGGGUUGAGCUACUAUAAUGACCACAUAUCCGAAGUUUGUUGUCAUCCCGGUCAAGCCAAGAUAGUAGCUAAACACCCUCUGUUGGUGAAGAAACCUGAGUCGUAAGAGUCAAGGACAUUGACUAUGACCAUCCAUUCACGCUUAAUCCCCCGAAUUAAGCAUUGCAGCGAAUAUCCCGGAAAUCCGAGAGCUGUGAUAAAUUAAACUCUGAGAAGAGUGAAUGAGAAGAUUAAAGUUCUGAGUGAUGGAACCGUAUACUCACAAGAUUUGACCUAAAUCGGGAAAACUCAGAACCUUCGGAAGAGUAGUUGCCAAGGAUGUUCGCACUACUCAAGCACUUCGUCCGCCCCGUUACAGACGAGUAGUGCCUAGGGUCCUCCGCCCCAUCACAUGGAGGAAGUCACCGUCGCCUUGUAGACGAUAGACUACAUUCUCCGAAGUGAACACUAGAAUACCGAGAACCACAUGAUAACCUCCGCAGCUAAGAAUACUUGAAUAAAGUGCGAAAGUAGAUUGUGUUAAGCCUCAUAACCCAGAUCCCGAAGAUAUUAUCGACAUGACACCAGUGUAGGUGUUAGUCGAUGGGUUAUAUGAGAGCACGCGCUUUCGCGCAGAAAUAGUAGAAUCACCUCCUGAGAUAGUCCAACACUCGUCUGGUGAAACCCUAUCUCCACGACCCUGAGGGUUUCCGUUAGAAAUAUCUCAAGAAUCAGAAGUGCAGGUUCAUUUUGC
rnacentral:lncRNA from 1 species